AGUCGCACGAGAAAGGGAGCAAUCCUGAGUAAAGUGGCGUACGGGUGAGUAACACGUGGAUGAUCUACCUUCUAGUGGGGAAUACCUCUGGGAAACCGGAGACAAUACCGCAUAAGCUCGUAAGAGGAAAGCAGCAAUGCGCUGGAAGAGGAGUCCGCGGCUGAUUAGCUAGUUGGCGGGGUAAUGGCCCACCAAGGCGAAGAUCGGUAGCCGGCCUGAGAGGGCACACGGCCACACUGGCACUGAAAUACGGGCCAGACUCCUACGGGAGGCAGCAGUGGGGAAUCUUGCACAAUGGAGGAAACUCUGAUGCAGCGACGCCGCGUGAGCGAUGAAGCCCUUCGGGGUGUAAAGCUCUUUCGACGGGAACGAUAAUGACGGUACCCGGAGAAGAAGCUGCGGCUAACUACGUGCCAGCAGCCGCGGUAAUACGUAGGCAGCAAGCGUUGUUCGGAAUUACUGGGCGUAAAGAGUGUGUAGGUGGUGCUCCAAGUCUGUCGUGAAAUCUCCCGGCUUAACCGGGAGGGUGCGGCGGAAACUGGAAUGCUUGAGGAUGGGAGAGGAAAGCGGAAUUCCUGGUGUAGCGGUGAAAUGCGUAGAUAUCAGGAGGAACACCCGUGGUGUAGACAGCUUUCUGGACCAUAUCUGACACUGAGACACGAAAGCGUGGGUAGCAAACAGGAUUAGAUACCCUGGUAGUCCACGCCCUAAACGAUGCAUACUUGGUGUGAGCCAUUCAUUUGGUUCGUGCCGGAGCUAACGCGUUAAGUAUGCCGCCUGGGGAGUACGGUCGCAAGGCUGAACUCAAAGGAAUUGACGGGGGGCCCGCACAAGCGGUGGAGCAUGUGGUUCAAAU
rnacentral:rRNA from 1 species